ACUUCCCGCCCUGCCUCACACACACUCUGGCCUGGAGAGGAACGUGUGCCCACACAGAGAGAACUGUGCCUGCAGUUUGUGGUGAAGGUGCUGGAUGUGGACUUGGUUUGUGAGGCCCUGCAGGUGGCCGUAACCUUUGGCCUGGGGCAGCUGCAGGAGCGCUGCGUGGCUUUCAUAGAGGCCCACAGCCAGGAGGCCCUCCGGACCCGAGGCUUCCUGGAGCUGUCGGCGGCCGCGCUGCUGCCCCUGCUCCGCAGCGACAAGCUCUGCGUGGACGAGGCUGAACUGGUCCGCGCGGCCCGAAGCUGGGCGCGCGUGGGCGCGGUGAGUGGGGCUGGGGGAGCGCAAGGGCACGGAAGGAGGUGCUGGCCACGAGACUGGUGAGCGGGCGGCAGGACAGGUGCCCGACUCAGGGCUGGCGUUUGCAGGCGGUGCUGGAGCGGCCGGUGGCUGAGGUGGCGGCCCCGGUGGUGAAAGAGCUGAGACUAGCCUUGCUGGCCCCGGC
rnacentral:lncRNA from 1 species